rnacentral:rRNA from 1 species
CCUACGGGUGGCAGCAGUGGGGAAUAUUGGACAAUGGGGGGAACCCUGAUCCAGCCAUGCCGCGUGUGUGAAGAAGGCCCUCGGGUUGUAAAGCACUUUCAGUGAGGAAGAACGCCUGGUGGUUAAUACCCAUCAGGAAAGACAGCACUCACAGAAGAAGCACCGGCUAACUCCGUGCCAGCAGCCGCGGUAAUACGGAGGGUGCGAGCGUUAAUCGGAAUUACUGGGCGUAAAGCGCGCGUAGGUGGCUUGAUAAGCCGGUUGUGAAAGCCCCGGGCUCAACCUGGGAACGGCAUCCGGAACUGUCAAGCUAGAGUGCAGGAGAGGAAGGUAGAAUUCCCGGUGUAGCGGUGAAAUGCGUAGAGAUCGGGAGGAAUACCAGUGGCGAAGGCGGCCUUCUGGACUGACACUGACACUGAGGUGCGAAAGCGUGGGUAGCAAACAGGAUUAGAUACCCGAGUAGUC